UACGUAGGGUGCGAGCGUUGUCCGGAAUUAUUGGGCGUAAAGCGCGUGUAGGCGGCUCGGUAAGUCUGCUGUGAAAGUCCAAGGCUCAACCUUGGAAAGCCGGUGGAUACUGUCGAGCUCGAGUCCGGAAGAGGCGAGUGGAAUUCCUGGUGUAGCGGUGAAAUGCGCAGAUAUCAGGAGGAACACCAAUGGCGAAGGCAGCUCGCUGGGACGGUACUGACGCUGAGACGCGAAAGCGUGGGGAGCAAACAGG
rnacentral:rRNA from 1 species